rnacentral:tRNA from 1 species
CCGGCGGAUGUCCGCCUGGGAGCAAGACACCGGUCUGUAAAGCCGGUCCCGAGAGGGGUGGGGGUUCGAAUCCCUCCCGCCGGA